rnacentral:rRNA from 1 species
UACGUAGGGACCGAGCGUUGUCCGGAUUCAUUGGGCGUAAAGAGCUCGUAGGCGGCUGCUCAAGUCGAAUGUGAAAACUCGAGGCUCAACCUCGAGCCUGCAUUCGAUACUGGACGGCUAGAGUCUGGUAGGGGGAGUCUGGAAUUCCUGGUGUAGCGGUGGAAUGCGCAGAUAUCAGGAGGAACACCGGUGGCGAAGGCGGGAUCCUGGGCCAGUACUGACGCUGAGGAGCGAAAGCGUGGGGAGCAAACAGGG